GGCUAUUUCUACGCGAAGUAUUGCCAGCCUGUCUGCCUUACCAAGCGUUUACCAUUGUUCUACUGACUACUAUUGGUUAUGACCUUUGCUUGCUUCACCGACUCACGACUUCACGGAUCAUCCUUGUUUGUUACGGUAACCGAUUACUACUGAACUUUGAUAUUGACCAUUGCCUCCAUUCGACUUUGCCCACGGAUUUCCCUUUGUGUAUGUUUGCCUUCCGGACUGAUAUUACUGUUGCCAACCCUUGCUUGUUUUUGACCAUCCUCAUCUGUGUGUGUGUUUCCAAUAAACAUCCGCACAUGGAAUCGCAAUCGGCUUCCGCCUCCUCCUUACAGCUUCUCAAGUGGAUUAUGAAAACAUUGAAAGCGUAACGUAUCAAAAAAUACAAUACUAUAAAAAAUAUAACUUGUGCAUUAUCAACAUAUUAGUGCACUGCUGCCUCUCACUGCUUCAUUAAUGUUAUUGUUUUUUUGUGGCUACUUGAAUAUUUUAAUUAAGUGUUUUUAAAAUCAGUAAGUAAAUUGUUUUAUUUGCCUUAAGUUUUGGUUACUUAAUAAAACCUAGUGAGUAUAAUAACUAAGUACACCUCCCUAAGUAAGGUAAAAUAUUGGAUUUUACAGUGUUACUUUAACGUGUGUCGGGAGAGAGAAUGAAUUCAGGUGUAUAUAAAACAUUUCAUAAAAUAUCAAGCAUGUUUGUGGAUAUUAGUAAUAAAAAAGGAAAAACUAUCAGGAUAAACAUUUUAACAUAACGGUCACCUAAAAAAGCUCCCCCUCUUCAUCUAGAAUAUCUGAAACUUAAGUGUGAAAGGGUUAACUGUGAUCGGGUUUCUAAAGGCAGGCUGACAUCGGGAUUUAUUGAGAGGAAAUGACUCCAUUUUAGAUAAGCACUUCAGCUAAACAAACCAAAAGCAAAAGAAAGGUCGAGCGCAAACGUCCUACUGUGUCUUUACGUCAGACGGCAGCGAGCCAGUGAAAGAUGAUGGCAUCUGCUGAGCAGCAUAGAGACACACCGCAAAAAAAACUGAAACAAAACCAAGGUGAUGCUCGCGCUGGAGUUUCCGUUAAUCUGACCGCUCAGACAAGAGCAUCUGUAAAUUUUCCUGUAUUUCACGGAAACACCAUCGGAUCGCUAACCCUCAGCUACAAUGAUGGAAAAGAGGGAAACAGCUCAGAGACAGAGAUGG